CAGCCGUAAACUAUGCGCGUUAGGUGUAUCGGUGACCACGAGUUACCGAGGUGCCGAAGGGAAACCGUGAAACGUGCCGCCUGGGAAGUACGGUCGCAAGGCUGAAACUUAAAGGAAUUGGCGGGGGAGGCACCACAACAGGUGGAGCCUGCGGUUUAAUUGGACUCAACGCCGGGAAGCUCACCGGAUAGGACAGCAGAAUGAUUGCCGGGCUGAAGACUCUGCAUGACUAGCUGAGAGGAGGUGCAUGGCGUAGACGUCU
rnacentral:rRNA from 1 species